GCUCCGCCAGGUUGAGGAACGGCAGGUGGGUCAGGAAAGCAAGAGUGUGGGCAGGGAGAGGAGGUGGAGGCCGCCAGAGUGGACAAGGAACCGGGUGGGGAUGAAUGCACCCACCCACCACCCCCUGCAAAGCACACACUGGCUUGGCUUUGGACUGGCAGCUCCCUGGGGGGUGGAGCACGGGGCCUGGUCGGGGGCGCUCCCUGGCACCCUUCUCCCCGCCCCCAACCCCUCAGCGUCUGCAGGAGUUCAGCCAGAGACGGUCGCCCGCGUGACUUCCGCCCCUGCUUCCGCCGGGCCUCCCAGAACAGCGUUUGGCACCUCGUUGAGGUUUCCCCUGCCGCCCUCCUCUCCGCACAGGGACGCGCCCUGGUUCUGCGGUGGAGACGGGGCGCCGGGAUGCUCGUGAGAAGCGAGCCGGAGGGACAGGCCCCCUGGAGGGGCACGCAUAGCUGUGUGCUGGACAAAUAAAUGGCCGUCUGAGCUCGAGCUUCUCUCCCCUGCACGGGCCGGGCGAGUGGGCGGCUGCUUCUCUUUCUGGACUCUGCGCCCCGGAGGCCAGUGUGCUGCCCAUGCCCGUCUGUGUCCUGGUAUGCAGCAGGUGCUCGGUAAGUGUUUCUGGAGUAAAUAACUGGAUCAGUCAAUUCACAAACUUCUCUUGGGCCCGGCUUGUGCUUCUCUGCUACAGGCUCCUUCCUUGGCAAGGGUGGGGGCACCUGCAGCUCAGUGUCCCUAGUGCUGAGCACGUGGCCUGGCUCCCAGUGGGUGUGCUGGAAAGUUCUCUGAGGUUCAGCCAUGACUUAUUCACAAGCCUCGCCCUAAGCUGGCUGGGGCUCCUGCCUCAGAGCCACGAGCCCACCUGGGGAGGCGUUCAGGGCCCCCUCUAGGCGAGUCUGGUGCAGAGUGAGGCGCUGUCUAGCUCCUCCUCUCUCCCCGGCUCACUCCGGGACUUCUUUCCUGCCCCAGGGCCUUUGCGAGUGCUGCCCUCCUGCCUGGACAUCUCUUCCAGGCUGGCCGCUUUUCUUCCAGGGCCUUGGCUUCCCCAUCACCUCCUCAGAGAGGCCCCUGGCUGCCGCAUCGAGCUGCAGCCCUCAGAUGGCGGUGAUGGUUGCACAACUCUGCACUGAAGGCCGCGGAAUUGCACGCUUUACACGGGUGCAUUCAUGCAAUGCGGAUUACGUCGCAUUUUAAAACCUGAGAGGUCGUCAGACAAACCCAAGUUGAUGCCCGCUCUGCAAACCCGGUGACUCAUGCUCCUCGAAUCCGGCCAGGCUGGGGAAGGCGGGAGGACCGCACGGGUUGCAGGAGACCAAGAUGACCGAGGGCCAUGUGGGUCCCCGAACAGAAAAAGGACAUUGGGGAACGAAUGAACCAAGUCUGUAGUUUAGUUCGUGGUCUUGCACCGAAGUGAAUUUCUUAGUUUUGAUGAAUUACUGUCAUGUACGAUUGAUAUCAGGGGAAGCUGGGUGAGAGAUGCGAGAACUCAUACUAUCUUUGCACAUUUUCUGUAAGUCUAAAAUUAUUUCAAAAUACAAAGUUAAACAAACAAACACAGGAGACAGAAAUGACAAGAGAGCGACCCAGGGGUGGAAAAGCUGCCCAGGCCCCAGCAGGAUCCAGCCCUGGGCUGGGGGGAGCCUGGGGUCCUAGUCCUCUGCCCACUACUGCCAAAGAGGCUCCUGGAGCCCCUGGGGAGGGCGACACCUCCGGCUCCACGGCCACGAACCCCGGGGCCUGCCAGUAGCGGCUGUGGAAAAUUCAGGGCAGUGCCUCUCGUUGCUCAUCUAAGGGGCCCAGCGGUGGCCAGGGCAGCCCGGGGGCUCCCCUCCACCCAUGACUGUGCCCCAACACGUCCGCUGAUGCCCCGACCCCUGACACUGCAGCCCUCAGUGCUGGCCGCCAACUUGCAAGGCUCCCAGCGUCCCGCAGGGAGGGAGACACCAAGAGCCCGCUUGGCUGUGAAAAGAGCAAAGCAGCAGCCCCAUGCUGGGACUGGGGCCGCUUCCCAGGGAGCCCAGCACAGGACAUGCAGGUCUGUUUUCUGUCUCCCUUGCUGGACUCUGGGCUCCUGGGGGGAAAAUGCUAAUUUUUAUUUCCCUGGAACCAGCCCUGAACUAGGCACUUAGUUGGUGCUCAAUUAAUGCUCAUGAGUUUCCAAGACACCUUACUCACUGGGUGUCAGCCAAAAAACAGCGCUCUCUAAUCCAAUGCUUUCUAGCUUUUUAAAGCAAUCAAGUCUACGUUUUAGUAAUGAAAUUAGAAAACUUCAUAGAAUAAUACAAUGACCCCCUCCUGCCACUGCCCAGAAUUAACCGUUACCCAGAACGAGACGUUCAGAGUCAGUCACAUUGGCCGCUGAUCCUUUCUUGCUUUAAGAAAUAAAGUGUUACAGAUGCAGCUAAAUUCUGCUGUAACUCCCACCUCCCCUAGAGCCAAGCUCGGUGGGUGGGGCGCCGCCUCCCGCCCUGGGGUCCCCCUCUGUACGCAUGGGCAGGGUCAGUCUGCGGCCUUGUCGACACCUCACAGGCGAGCGCCUCAUCCUGUGUGAACGGCUCUGAUUGUGUGUUUUCUGGUGACAACGUUUAGGAUCGCUGAUGGCAGUCAUGGACAGGGAUCUAUCCUUGUAGGUGGAGCCCCUGCCCCCCGCCCACCCCUGUGCGUCCACCACCUCCUGGUGCGGCCGGGCAGUUGCCCCAGCACGUGUGAUCCUCUGCUGUCUCCGGCUGGAAAUUCUUAACGGGGCCCAGCGUUUUCCUUUUGCCCUCGGCCACACCAACCGUGUAGCGGUUCUGACAACGUGGACACUACCGAGCCCUCGCCUGUGCCAGGCCAUGGGCUAGGCCAGCCGGCUGCAUGAACCGUCUCGAGGAAUCUUCCCAAAGGCUCUGUGAGAGGCCCGCUCCCAUCAGCUUUCUGCAGGUGCAGACCGGUUCCGGCAGCUCAGCAGACACGGCCCGGGGGACGCAGAGCCAGGUUCUGGGCCAUCCCCACGGCCGGGAGCCAGAGGCUCCAUCCUGGUGCUGCCGCCUGGCCGGACGGCUGAAUUCAUUGCACCACUUUUCCUUCAGCCACAUUUCCUCUCCCCGGGGAACUGUCUCAACGAGAGGUGAACACACCCCAGGGUAUUAAUCAGAGCAGCCACUUCCUGUCACCAGAGAGGAGCCGGGCCCCUCACAACCUGCCUUCUAUAAUUAGAGCCGCUGCCUCCUGCACUGGCCGGCGGUGGCUUCUGGCCCCGGGGAGGGUCGAGGGGGCUUGCCGUGCUGUUUCCCAAGAGCCCCGAGGAGCCCAAGGGGUGGUGGGCACGCUUGGGGGGUGCUCGGGUGAGGCGGCCUGGCAGGCUUUGCUCACCUCCGCGGCCUGGGGGCGGAUGAGGUCCAUUUCUAGGACCCAAGGAGCCCGCCCGUCUCCCGGCUCAUUCGUGGAGCGUCCUGAGCAUGUUCCGUGCGCCGUGUGCUCUGCUGUGCUCUGGGGACAGCAGAGAACGGGAUGGACGAGCCCCGUGGAGCUGAGACGGAAACAAACACGUCAAUAAGGAGAUACAGAAACAGGGCAAUUUAAGAAAAGGCCGUGAGGACACUAAAUCAGGGGGAUGGCUGGAGGGGGAUGGUGAAGCUGGGGCGCUCAGGGAGUGUAGUCAGGGCCUGCCUCUGCUGGCCCCUGAGGGCGUGGAAGGGCCUGGAAGGGGACCAGAGACACAGAGAGAGCUGAGGGCAGAGGAAACAGCAGGCGACCGCAUUAGGGCAAGCUGGAGAGGGGUGGUGAGGUCCUACAGGGCCCCCACAGGCCACCGAGAUGGUGUGGAUCCCAAAGAUCAGGAGAAUCUGCUGGACACUGGUCCCCAGACAGCAGAUGUGUUCAGCCACGUCCAAAGCAGUGGUUCUCCAGUGGGGGCGAGUCUGCCCCUCGGGGACACUGGGCAAUGUCCGGGGACAUUUUUGGUUGUCACGGCUGGGGUGGGGAUGCUCCUGGAGUCCCGUGGGUGGGGACCAGGGAUGCUGCUAAACACCCUUCAGUGCCCAGGGUGGUGACUCUAGCCGGGUGACUCCGGAAAUGUUACUCUUUGAGGCUCCAGGUGCCUCUCUGUCAAAGUAGGGGCAGUGCCACCAUCUGGGCUGCCCAGGGGGCUUCUGUGCUGGGGGUGGGGACCCAGGAGGUGUGUUGGAUGGGGAAGUGACUUGUCAUUCUGUUCUGAGUGUUGAGUGACCCUCGAGAGCUGGAAACUCAAGUUCGAAGUGUGGGCGACAUUCAAGAUGCGGGCGGCCAGUUCAGCCAGCCCGGGCGCCGCUGCACAGUGAACUCCCGUCUGCUAGGCUGUUCCAGACCCGUCUUCCACAGCAAGCCCGUGUGGUGGCAAGACCCCCGGCGGCAGGGAUGUUUGGUUGGGAACCGGCCCCGCCCCCUGUGGUUGACGACGACUUUGGGGUCCUCGCAGGUUCCGGGUGAGGGAUGACCUGAGAAAGAGGUGCUGGCAUCUUGCCGACACAGCGCCUGGGAGCCUCAGUGAGGAAGGAGCAAGGAGGGACCGUCGCCUGGAAUCCUAACUUGUGGAGGCGUUUAUUCUGACCCGUCAGUUUGGAAGGAGAGGUUCCUGGCCCCCAGGGCUCCGGGGAGAGUUGCUGCGGGACUGCACCUGCUGCACCUCGGCCUCACUGGCUGGCUUCUUGCUCCAGGAAAUGCAGCCCAUUCCUCUGGUCCCUCCGUUCUUCCUACCCCCCCCCCCCCCCCCCCCCCCCCCCCCCCCCCCCCCGCCUCAGUGCCUGCAACCCCAGCCCCGGAAGGGUUUCCUCCAUGGGGGGUGCUCUGAGGACGCUCAGGGGAAUGGAAGGCAGGCAAUGGGGGGUGGGGGCAGAGACUGUCACUGCCUUCCCAAGCUGCAGCCUCUCUCGUCCCCCCUUCCUGCUCGGAAGAUGCUUCCAGCGUGCACCUGCCAGGAACUGUUGCAGAUGCCGUCUGAGAAACCUUCAAAGGAGCGGAACAAAACGUUUAUCCCUGAGGAAACGUCGACAGUUAACUGUUACCUGGGAGAAUGCACAGUCUGGCAGGCAGAGCAACAGGUGCACACGAGAGCUGCUCUACAGGCCGAUGAAGUUAGAAAACAAGUAUAAAAUGAUAAAACCCAGUGUUGGCAGGGAUGUGGGGAAAAUGACACAUCAGCUUCGCUGUAAACAGAUUCAGAUGCUGAAGAUCACUGUGUCUGUGUGAAACAAGGGCUGUGACACUGCACGUACCCUCCAACCCAGCGUUUCAUCUUUUGGCAAAACAUUUUUGUCCUCAGGGACAGAAACAUGCAUAGUGGAGUUAUUUGAAAGUGGGAGAUGGAAAAACCAAAAAUCGAAAAACUCAGAUGCCCCGUGCUAACAUUUGUGGAGCGCUCACACUGUUUGAAAUGCUGAACGUGAUUACUCUUUAAUCCUUACAGCCGCUCUGCAUCUGUGUGUUUAUGAGGCCCUGAGUCAGCCCUUCCCCCGAGGUCCCUCAGGAGGUGAGCGGCAGGGCUGAGGGCUGAACCCAGGCGGCACCACCUCAAACUCGAUGGCAGUGGGGGGUCUCCGCCCCACGCAGUUGCUCGGUAACAUGAAGGCAGAAUUGCCCACCAGAGAGAGGGUGACCUGCAGCUCCGUGGGGUGUGCGGUCACCAGGGUGCGGCCUGGAGACAAAAGGGCUCCUUUGUGCUUCUGCCUGGCGGUAAACACCAGCCACUGCCCGGCAGGCAUGCCCCAGCCUGCGGCUCUGGAAUGUGGGCGAGCCACCAUCCUGACGACCGGCCACUGGUGGCUGGUCUCGAGGUGGCCAGGCCCGGCCUGCAGACCCAGCCACCCGCGCUCUGUGUGUGCCCGAGGAAGGAGCCCAGCCCUUCACACCGCCUCGAUGGACGCUGAGCAGUUGAAGUGAUGCCCAGAACCCCAGUGUCCGCUCUGGGCAGAAGCACCGGUGGCCUCGAGGGUGGAAGUGCUGGAAGGAUGGCGACAGCUCCAGGCAGCUGCGGCUUCAAGGAGGCUGAGACUGUGGAGAUGCUCUGCCUCCUGAGAAGGGGACGGGAGGGGACACAUCCUGGUGGCACGUCCGAGGCUGGUUUUAGCCUGGUGCCUGCGUCUUUACAGCCGGUCCCCCAGCUGCUCAGCCCCUGCUUAGCAGAGCGAGGGCAGGGCUCCGGCUCCGAGCCGCGGGCAGGCAGCGGCGUUUACUGCGUGACUUAUCUCCCACGUGCUCGUUUUCGGAGUCGUCUUCUCUUGGUGGCAGUGACACUCCUUUUCCAUUUACAUGGAUCACAGAGAAUUUUCUUUUAAAAUAAACUUAAGUAAAAAAAAAUAAGGUGAGUCAUUUUGAAUAAAAAUAUGAAGCAAAUGGUAGAUGGAUGGAGAUGGUCGGAGUCAUAGAGGUGGCCCCCAAGGGUCUGGAGUUUGGGAUUCGCAGACAAGGGCCUUCCUGGGUCCCUGGCAAGACGGGCUGGGCAGGCAAACGCCCGGAGGUGCGGGUCUCACCAGCCCCUCGCCCGGCGCUCCUCUGUCCCCACGUCCCGGUAGCUGAUUCUUAGUCUCUGGGACCUUUGGCCUCCUCUCCCUUUCUCCCCUCUCUCUCUUCUUCCCUCCUUCUCCGUGUCCCCAAGUCACGUCCGGGGAAGCAUCCUACAGAUCCAGCGCAACCCUUUGGCUGCCCUCUUGGUCUGAGGGCUUCCUUUUGGGGAGGGGGGUGCCCCGGGUGUCAGCUCUCACUGCCCCGUUCUCCUCUCCUUUGUUCGUCCAAUCAAUGCACCAGUUUCCACAAGGUGCCCUGGCUGACCCCACCCGGCCAAUGAAAUGAGCCUCGCCGACGGGCCUGGCGGGAACCGGUGCGUCUGAGGGCUCCCUGGGUGACUCCGGUGAGCGUCGCGGCGGGAACCUGGCCUGCAGCCUCCUCCCUCAAACUCAUUCGUCCCUCUCCCCGUCAACUUGGCCGCCCCCCCGACCCUGCCCAGUGGCGCAGACCUGUCGUUCUCCAGCCGGAUCUUCCCCGCCUGGGCCGUCUGGUUAAAAUGCAGGCUCUGGUGCCAGUCAGGGGGCCUGAGGUCCUGCAUCUCCAACCCACGUUGCUGACGCUGCCAGGAUCUCAUGCUCGGAUCGGUCGGGGUGUAGACGAACUUUCUGUCUGGACAGACGGUAAGUACCCUCAGUUUUGUGGGCCAUCCCGUUUCUGUUGAAAUGACUCAGCUCUGUGGUCAUGGCACCGAAGCAGCCCUCAACUGUACACACACGGCUGGGUGCCCACGAAGCUUCAUUUACGAAUUCAGGUGUUGGGCGGGUUUGGCGCUAGUUUGCCGACCCCUGGUGUAGACCAUGUUCUCUGUGGUCGGCCUUGGUGGACACCACCGCUCACCCCUCAGGAGCCCUCUGCGGCAGACCGUUAUCUUCCUCUCUGUGCCGCCGAGGAGUGGGCUGAGGCUCAGAGAGGGUCAGCCAUUUGUCCCAGGUCACACAGCCAGCAAGUGCCAAAGUUGGGACUGAAACCCAGCUCUUCUGGUUGCAAAGCCCGUAUGGCCUGGCCACAGCGAGUCACCAAAGCCCUUUGAGCCUCAGUUUCCCCACAGGCUGUCUCGAGAAGGCACUCUUCAGACUCUCUCUGCAGCAGUCACUGCCUCCCAGGGUCAGUGGGAGGUUAAAUACGGUAGUGAUUGGCACACAAGUGCUAGGAGGUUUUUCAUUCAUUCAGUGAGUGUUAGUUUGCUUGCUGAGAUGGUGACAGGAAAGGGAACUAGACAGAGGCCUCCCAUGGGGCCUGUGGGUCGUGGCCUUCCUCGUAAUUCUCCAGGGCCCCCCGAAGGAGGCCUCCUGAGCAGGUGCAGGGUGCCUUCCUGCCUCCCUCUGGGGGUCUGGCUCCCGUCGUCCUGGCCAGGGCUCUCCCCUGGACACAGCCUGCUUCCCCCCCGAUCCCCGUGGUCUGACUGCACGCACUUUCAGUCUCAGGUCGGCGUUUGUCAGCUCCGCCUAGGCCCUCCUGACAACACUCUCCUGCAGGGAGCCUGGCAUCUCUGUCAGUCUGGGGGUCAUUUUGGCGUGGCUGGACAGGCGAUGGAGAGCACGGAAGCCAUGCUCCUGUCCCCUGACUAUAACUCUUUUUUGUGUUCACGAAGGACCCUGGUCUCCCCCAUGCUUCUGUUCAGUCACCUUAGUGUGUUAGUUUUUAGUCCUUUUUACCAGUUGCUUCCUGAUCACAAAAUGGCUGCCACUGCUCCAGCCUCUUGACCUCACAGCAGCAGCACAAGCAGGACAGCAGGGAGAAAGCUUACAUCUCAUUGACUAGAACUGGGUCACGUCGCUGCUACUAGCUGCAAAGGAGGCUGAGAAGGCAAGAAUCUGGCAGAGGGCAAUGGGGCGGCUGUGACUAGACCAGUCGUGAUUCGUCCCCAGGUGCAGGGGAUGUUGCUGGUCCAACCAAACUGAUGUUUUGCUAGCAAGGAAGAAAUGGGGAGUGGCUUUCGAGAGGGCAGCCCAGAGUGAGUGUGACAGGGGCCAGAGAGGUUGGAGAGCAGAGUGUGAGGGAAUCAUGGUGGUGGAGAGGCUGGAGGCCAGGCCCCACGGGGCCUCACGGACCAUCCUAGGGUUGUUUGUAUCUCAAGGGCAAUGGGGAGCCAUUGAAGAGUUUGGGGCCAAGGCAGGUAGCAUGAGAGGAUUUGUGUGUCCAAGAGAAGUGACUCGGAUGGUGGUCCUGAGUCCUCUGAGGGGGCUGCCCGUGCCCCGAAUGGCUUCACAAAGGAAGCUCCGGAUGAUGGAGCCUAACCCCAGACCUCGGAGACUCCAGGAAACCAUCCAAGCCAGGCCUCUGGCGGCAGAGACCUGUCUCCAUGCCUGGGCCGAGGCGGGAGCCACCAGACACGCCUCCCUCCUGCAGGGAUCCCGUGUCCUCACGGGGGCCCAGGUCCCAGGACUGGCCAGACGAGCCAACGCUGCGGGAUUUGAGGACAGGCGCGGGGACCCGUCCCUCUGUCUGGAGCUUAGCAGGGAGCCAGGGGUGAGAGGAUGACCCUGCGGUGACGAUGGUCCUUGCCAGCCGGCCAGGCACUGGGCUGAACUCGCCGUGCGUCAUCCUUCAGUCGCCAUGACGACUGUGGGAUGCGGCUUAGGGAGCCAGUGUCAUGGUCACCGGGAGUCACCCCGUCCGGGCCCUGGGGAAGAACUCCUGGGGUGUGAACUCGCUUAGUGCUCGCAAGAGCCCAGAACCCUCUCCAACUCCCCGCUCCCUUCCCCCUCUGCCCCCGCCAUAUCCCAUCCGUCAGCUUGACUUGGAAAGUAUCUCCAGAAUCAGACCUUCCCCUCCUGCCCUGCUCCCAGCCUGGGCCCAGCCAUGCUCGCCUCCUGUCGGAUCAUUGCGUCCUCCCUCACACAGUGAGACAGAUCCUUUAAAACCUUCACUGCGAUCCUGUCCUCACUCUGCUUGAAACCCUCCAGCGGCUUCUCAUCCCCUGCACAACCAGAGCCCUGCCCACCUCUGCAUGCCUGCCUCCUACCACUUCUUCUGCUCCAGCCUUUCCAACCUCAUCCUGCCUCAGGGCCUUUGCACUGGCUGUUCCCUCGAACAGGCUGUUCCCUCAGGCCCAAAGUGCUCUUCUCCCUGAAAUCAGAACAGCUUGCUCCCUCUUUUCAUUCGGGUUCUGCUCAAAUGCCCUCUCCUCGAAGGUAGCAGGCUCCCUCCUCGUUAAAGGGGACCGCCCCCCUCACGCUCUGUUCCCUCCCCCAACAGAGGGCUAUGUUUUGGGUCUUUGUGCUCCCACCCAGAAUAUAGACUCCAGGCAGGGAUUUCUGUGGGUUCUGUUCUCUGCCGUAUCUUCAGCGUCUAGAUCAGUGUCUGCCCAGUGUAGGAGCCUAACAGAAAUUUCUUAGGUAAACGACCAACCUGCGAGGUGGGUACUGUUGUCAUCCCCACGUGGUAGGUGCAGAACAGACCCAGACAGGUCCGGCAACUUGCCCAGGGCCAAGGGACCUUCAGGCCAGGGAGCCUAGAGUUGGGCCCUCAGGGGCUGACCCCAGAGCCCUUGCAUGCCACCCCUGCAGGGCGCUGUCUCCUGUGUUACGCAUGGGCCUGAAGCAGGUGGUUCUGGGCUCAAAUCCUUGCUCUACAGUUCCCAGCUGUGUGACCUGGGGCAGCUGUCUCAAACUCUCUGGGCUCUGCUCCUUGUCUGCACAGAGUGAGCAGCCCUUCCUGCCGAGGGUGCACAGCUCUGAACAGAGCUUGGCAUCCGCGAAGCUGGGCUAUGGCUGCCUAUCGUGGCUCUCCCAUUUAGGAGGCGGGGCGACUGGGGCCCAGAAGAUGCUUGAGGUCACAGGCCUCCGGAUUGGAGGGCAGGUCCGGCCACUCCCUCGCCCCACCCCCCAGCGGCAGCCCCACCCUCCCUCGGUCCUGCCAGCGGUCAUUGGCCUUGACAGAGGGGGCUGCCCUGUGCUUUCCCCUGGCCUCUCCUGGUUGGGGUGGAGGGGGUAUGGGUCAAGGAAGGGCUCCGGCCAGCCACUCCCCUCUCCCAGCUCCUGGUGGCGCUGGGCCACCUGCAGGGCGAGCCACUAACUGUCCUGGUCGCCCGGAGGCAGGACCCUCGGGGCUAAAACCAGGAGAGGCCCAGGCAGACCCAAGUAGGUUGGUGUUUGUGAGGUUGGAUGAAGUGACAAAGACGGAUGAGUCAGGACACUAGCAGGACUCGGAGACUGGCGGCCCUGCCGAUGGUGACCCCCCCUGGGCGCCCCUCCAUGCCCCUCGUCCUCCCUGCACCCUCGGGCCCCCCCUGGGUGUGGUGGGUACCAGAUCAGGAAGCCGAGGCCCGGGAGGGUCGGUCCCAGCCCGGUCGCCCCGAGCUUCUGACCCGGACCUGCGUCCCUCUCCCAGGCCCAGUGCCCGCGCGCCCUCCGCUCGCUCCCGCAGAGCUGCCAGUCACAUGCCCCGGGGGAGGGCGGGUGGGUGACUCCCCGCGCUGGAGGCUCCAGCACACUCUCAGCACCGUCAGAUAGGCCCCUGCCAGGCUCCUACAGGAACGCGGGGCCUCAGCGCCAGUGCCCAGCCCCCCGCUGGGGACAACCCCUCCAGGAGGGCGGGCGGGUGGCCACCGCCUCUCCUCGGCCAUAUAUGGACAGGAGCCGGGACCCUGCAGCCCGGUGGCGAUCAGGGCUGCCACCACCUCGGCCGACCCGGCAUCUCGGGCUCCCUGGGGCCGCAGCCUUGGCCGUAGGGCAGGGCUGGCGAGGAGGCUGGGGACAGGCGAGCUGCGGGCGGCGGAGGCUCGGCGGCGUGGGCCUCCCGGUCCCAGGAGCUCCGGCCAGGCAGCGGGCGCGGGCUCUGACCAAAUAAGGCCUGGCCCACGGGCCUGCGGCCUCCCCUCCUCCCAGCCCAGCCAGCCGCCUGGACGCUGGCCCUGUGGCUCGAAGGGGAGUCCCCCUGAGAAGCACCCCCAGGAGAGGAGCCUCCGUUUAGAACUUCUGGAAUGUUCCAUUUGGAACCUUCAGAAGGCUCCAUCUACAAUCUUGAGAGAAGGCCAGGUGCAGACAGAUUCCGGGAACUCCCACAGCCCCACGGGAGCCCCAGCCAGCCCCAGGGCACCAGCCGCAUCCAUCCCCGCUGUGAGCACACCCACCCCAGUCCCCAUGCCCCGGGGGGUUCUGCUCUUGGACUCCGUUGGCAGGUCCCAGGCACACUGGUCAGACCCUUGCCGGCGCCUGGGCUGUGGGGUCGAGGGCAAGGCUGGCCGAGGGAGGGGCCCUGGGCUCUCGAGAUCACUGGGGGCCCCUGGGCAGUGACCUGUCCCCACCUGUGCCUGUGAGCCGGUGAGUGACCUGUCCCCACCUGUCCCUGUGAGGGCCAGUGUGAGCCCUGGAGGGAGGACGUGCCCCUCUGAACCAGCUGGAGCCCCACCUGGGGAGCAAACCCCUGCAGGUGAGGAACAGGAGGGGGCAAGCCCACGGGGGGCCAGGGCGAGGUGGGCUGAGGCUUGUCACAUGUCAGGAGCCUCUGAGGGGCUUGGAGCUCCCGGGUCUGCCUGCCUUCGUGCCUUGGUUCCAGCGGGCGACUUUGCUUCCUGGAGCCUCAGUUUUGCCAUCCUUAAAAUAGGCGUAACACAGACCUGAGCUCGGGGACGGCUGCGGGGACCCCGCGGGUACAGUGCGGAGGGCCCUGCAGAGAGCUAUGGGAGGACUAAGCGGGAUCCCGGGCGAGGGGGGCACCCCUGGUUUCCAGGGAGACUGGGGGAGGUAGGGGUGCUCCCUUGGCCCCAACACCCCCUCCAGGCUUUUCUCGGCCCUCCCUGCUUUCUCCUCAGCCUAGCGGUGCUGGGGUGGCAUUUCGAGGUCUCCCGAGCCACCCGCACAGCAGGAAGCUUGUGGCCAGGGUGACAGCUGUCAUACAUGUAAACAUGCAUGUGUGUGCAUGUGCAGGGGCACCCGUGAGGCCCCGUGAGCACAGCCGUGCGAGGUGAGCACGUGCAGGAGUGAGUGCCCGGGCCCUGGUGUGGGAGUCGGGACGUGGGGCUAUUUGCGGUUUCUGCUGCUGCCCGUUUCUGAAGGCUUUUCAGGAGUUCUAGGAUCUCAGGGGUGGGGCAGAAUUAGGGCCCCCGUGCAAAAGGGGAAUGUGUGACCCCACGUUCAAAACGUACCAAGACUGUGAAGACGGCCACAGCAGGGCAUUAAACCGAGGUUGGGGCCUCCUGAGUGUGGGGGCCCAGUGCGAGCCCCCGGGCCCUUCCCGCUCCCUGGGGCGUGGGGGUGUGUGUGACCUGGCCGGGCCCAUGGACACUCCAGCCCGCAGCGGUGGUAGGACCCGCAGGAAGGGUCUGGAAAGUCUAUGAAAGAGACACCCUGGUUCCCAUCUUGGGAGCAGCCGGGAGCCACGUGGGGACAGGACACACAGCCUAAGGCAAGUGUCUCCCAGCCUCUCUGUUGAAGCCCAGGGUCAGGGUCGUCCCUGCGGACCGGAGGCUGGCAAGCUGGCGCAGCGCCUGCUUUUAGCCAGCCUGGCAGGACGCUGUGGGCGGGGGGCCUGGGCAGAGCUGGGGAGCCUGGGGGUGGACGGCAGGACGGCCGAGGGCCCCAGGGCCUCUCCUCGGGACAGGAACAGGAGGCUGCCCCCUGGGGUUCCUGCAAGGGGCUUGGGGCUCCCCCGACAGCUGCGGCCUUGGACCCUGGCCCCAGGGGUGCACUCUGCUGGAAAGUUCUCUGCGGUCUCCAGAAGCACCCACCCAGGCGUGGGAACCUGCCCCGUGGAACUUGGGGCUGUUCUGCUGGAACCUCAGGGACUGGGUCCGAAGCUUGGGGACCCCACCUGGUCCCGAGCUCUGAGCGCCCUCAGGGUGGGGUGGGCCUGGCUCACGCGGAGGGGUCUCCCAGAGCCUGGCACAGCGCCGGCACAGCAGGGACACACAGCCUUCCUGUGGGGCUGGAGAAAAUGGACACGUCCAGCCAAUGCCAUCAGACCACGCGUCCGUGUCGCCAGAUGCCUCUGCUGGGGCUGCCAAGAUGGCAACCAGUGCACCGUCUGGCUUCGACGCUGCGUAUUAACGGGCAGCCUGGUGAUGCACGUCCGCCCGCCCAUGUUUCGAUGUGGGAAAAAGGUCUUUUCUCCGAGGGCCUGGGAGUCUGCGAUGGGCUUCCCCGGUCUCUCUUGCAUGAACCACAUGCCCAGUGCAUCUCUUGCCUUUUGCAGUUUCUGUUUCUUUAAAGUGGGGAGAGAAGGAAUAUGUUCCCAGAGACACCCAACUGGAGAGCUCCUGGGCAGACUUCAAUGCUCUAAGAAGGAGGACCGGAGAUGAAGUGCCCUGCCUGUCACAUGCUGUCAGGGGCUCUGUGAUACCCACACGGCACUGUCGUUACUUUGAAGCCGUUCCAGAAGAAUAACACGACGGCACGUUUCCUAUGGGAUGGUUGAAAAUGCGACCAGCUGCAUACCGGCUCCAGGACACACGCACAGACACAGAAGAGGCCCCAGUGUCUGGAUGGCGCGACCCCACGGCAUCUCGGGGUUUCGGGUGUGGACUGACUCUGCUCCCAUUUCAAGCACAAGGCCGUUGUCCAGUGGGCUGGGGUGGGAGUGGGUCAGGGGGGGCUUCCUGUCUCCUUGGUUGCACUUUGGGGACAGACUCACCCUGGACCUCUGUGGACAGGAGGUGAGGGGCCCCUUUCAGCUCGUGGGCCCUUGUCAGACUGACCACAUCAUGUGGCCACCACUCAAGCUGAUUGAAGCCUCAUUUGUAAGCAUCUUCUUCCAUCCCAGCAUGACUCGGGGCCUCCCAGGAAAAACCAGAAACCUGGGUGGGUCCUUGAAGCCCCUCUCCCUCCUCAAGUCUAUGCGUCUGCUCUUGGAUUCUCGCCCAAAACUUCUCAAGCCCGGUUCUCCCAUGGAUGUCGCAACCCCCGGUCCACCUCCGUCUCCUUCCUGGAGGACCACAUCUGCCUCCUCACCCAUCUUCGCGUGCUCUGGGGCCUCUCACACUGUCUCCGCACCUCCCCGAUGAUCAAUCAGGCCCCGUGGCUCUUUCCUGCUGCAAAUGCUCCACGGGACUCUGGGCUGGAUACACGAGCCUGCACACAGGAUAAACCACAUCGCUCUAAACACACACGUGCACACGCACACACACACACAUAAACACACACAAGUGCAAGCCAACUGGGGAAAUCUGAAUGAAGUGAGUGGGUUGUAUCCAUGGCAAUAUCCUGGCUGAUACUGCUCUACAGUUUUGCAAACUGUCACCACUGAGGGGACCAGGUAAAGGUGCGUGGGGUCUCUGCUUUAUUUCUUACAACUGCAUGCAAGUCUACAAUUAUCUCAAAAUAAAAAAAUUAAUUUAAAAUAAGUGCUCCAAAGGCUUCUGCUUGUGCACAGAAUCAAAUCCACACUCCUACUGCAGCCCCCAAGCCCCUCCACGCUCUGGCCCGGCCCACCCCAGCACUCACCUGUGAUCCCCACCCACUCACCCUGGCCUGCUUACCUCCUAACCCUGUGUCCUCCCACCUGAGGGCCUUUGCACGUGCUCUUCCUCUGCUGGGAUGGCUCCCCUCCUCCCCAGGUCCACUUCCCCCAAGUCCUACUUAUCCUUAAAGUUCCAUUUCAAGUGCCAUUUCCUCUGAGAAGCAUGUCCUGCCCAGUGAGAUCCGCCAGGUCUGCCUGUGCAAGCUCCUGCAGCCCCCUGUGCCUGUCCUUCGAAGCUCCUAUGCUGUGAUUAUGUGGUCAUUUGAGGGAUUAUCAGAUUAAUGUCCACCUUCCUCUCGAUGGGGAGCUGAUGAGGGCCCAGCACUAAAAAAGCAGCAGACCCUAAGCAGGUGCUCAAUAAAUAUCUGUUGGAUGAAUGAACAAAUGAGCUAAUGAAUGAAAAUCGCC
rnacentral:lncRNA from 1 species